rnacentral:lncRNA from 1 species
GGCGCGGAGCCGCGCGGAGUGACAAAGCCGCCGCUGCCGCCGCCGGGGGUGGGAGCCGCGCUCGCCCGCCCGCCCCUCGACUCGCGAGGGCGUAAAAGUUUGUCUCAGCUCGAGCAUUCCUAGCGCCAACACGCCCUCAGGUAAAGGUGGAAGUAAAUGGCCACGCUGUAUUGACAGAGCAGGUAGAUGAAACUCAAGAGAAAAGGUGUGGAUAAAUGAAACUAGCCCAUGAUGAACCUGUUUUCUCCGUGACCACAAUAUUAACCAGGAUGAAUGGCGGUGGCAGUGGGCCUGCAUCACAGGUUGCAGCAGAUGUUCUCAAUAUUUCUAUUAAAAUUUCCUUAUUUCCAUAUGCAAGAGGAGCCCCAGAGCUGCAUCCUUAUGGUAGCUACCAUGCCGUGAUGUAAGCUGCCAUUCACUGGGGAGCUUUGGCAAUAGAAUUGGCUAGAUCAGGAAGCCUAUGUCAACUAUGGAACAACAACUUGCAGCUCAUCUCUAUUGAUGCAUCAGGUAUUAUCUACUGCUGUCUGCAGAAUUCAGACAUGGAGGGCUCAAUGGUGUCCCCUGGUCUUUGGAACAUUCUGUAUUUUAAUGAUCAUGAUACACUGCCUCUAGGACUGGGACAGAUAGCCACUGAGUACCUGCUUCAAAUCACCCUGCACGUUUUCUCUUUGGAAAGAUAAGCACUGGAGAACCAUCUCGUUACCUUCAGCAGAAAUGGAAACAAAUCAAGACAUUAAGAAUGCCGCAGUGGACAGCAGUUAUGCAAGGUUCAGCAGAGGAAGUUUUCAAGAUGGUGUGCCUCACUAGCCAGAAAUCAGAAAAGAUCGAAGCUAGCCUUUUCAUCUCAGCUGCUCCUUAAAUCAGUGCAACCCCUCCAAAUUAAUGUGAAUUGAAACUUGCAUUGCUUUUCAACUUAAUUGAAUACUUACUAUAUGUGAACCACUGCACAAAAUAGGGGAAGAAGAUGUGGGAGACAAAGAUGUGGAGCCUGUCUUCAAUAAAUUUACAGUUAGUUUCAGGGUACAUUGUUUUUCUUCUGCUGUUAAUUAGGUGUAUCCCCAAGACAAUAAAUACAUGAAUGGAAAAGUAUAUUCUGUGUUUUAAGUCUCUUUAAUAAAAAACAAAACAAAAUCCAAAAAAACUCCUAACAUGGCAACUCAGGACAUUUUAAUCCUUUUUUUUGUUGUUGGGCUUCUGAUAGGAUCCAUUUUAUUGAUUCCAUAAAUAUUUAGUAGACUUUAGACAUAUUAAUACAUUGUAGUUUGAGUUAAUUUGCAUUAAAUUCUGUUUUUUUCCCCUUAGGUAUAGAUUGUCUGUUGGAAAAAUAUAUUGCUUGUGGAUUUCUUGGGGAGUGGGAAGGUGAAUUAUACCUGUUGUCUCUACAGUCCACUACCUUCCACACCCUAGGGCAGUGGUCCCCAACCUUCUUGGCACCAGGGAUCAGUUUCCUGGAAGACAAUUUUUCUGUGGAUGGUGUGGGGAUGGUUUUGGGAUGGAACUGUUCCACCUCAGAUCAUCAGGCAUUAGUUAGGCUCUCAUAACGAGUGCGCAGCCUAGAUCCCUCACAUGCACAGUUCACAGUAGGGUUUGCGCUGCUAUGAGAAUCUAAGGCUGCCACUGAUCUGACAGGAGGCAGAACUCAGGUGGCAAUGCUUACUGGCCCACUGCUCACCUCUUGCUGUGCGGCCUGGUUCCUAAUAGGCCAUGGACCCCCACAGACGGGUACUAGUCUGCAGCCUGUGGACCCCAGCCCUAGGGGCCUGCCAUUCUGAGUGAGUUAUUAGCAUGAAGAAGAGGAAGAUCUGGAUCAAACGUGGGUGAUGGUACUCAGAGACCCAAGAUAGGAUAGGGAUGGAACAAAAUCCAUCUGGGCAACGGCUCUAUGAAAAUUUGGCUAAGUAAUUAUUUCAGUAUUCAUUGUAUUCAUUGUCCUUCGUGUUCCAUAAGUUAAAUGACUGUCUAAUUUUUCCAAAAAUUUAUUUCUGACUUGAGAAUAAGUGUGUCAUGAUUUUCCCAGUGUAAAGACACUGAUAUAACUGUAGAUACCAGACAUUUUAUGUAGUGUCUAUGACACAUUUUAGUAUGUAUGAGCCAACAAUAGACAUGUCUUUGUCUUGAGGAGUGUCCAUCUGAAUUGAAAAUGUGUCAGCUUUUUUUUAACAUCAUCAACAGACUUCUUAAUUAAGCUGCCAAUACAUACUGCCAAUAGCACUGUGUGCUGUCUGAGAAAUGCAUUGUGUAAGUGCUAUUUCCAUCUUAUUAAAUAAACAAUGUUGCUCUGUAUAAACUGGAUUUAAAGUGUUCUUUGAAUGAGGCAUUAUAUUGCUCCAUAAAUAAUGUGAUGUGAAUUCUCAUAUGAUCCCUUUUAACUUAAUUUCUAAAAAAAUAUUAUUUGCUCCUCAGUAAGGAAUAGCUCUAAUUGGACUGGUAACUUUAGUGAUAUGAUUUGUCUGUAACAGGCUGAAUCGCCCCACUCCCAAACUCCUGGUCGUGAUACUGGAUAUUUGUUAUGCCACUUUUAGUUUGCAUGAGGUAUCUUCCAGGAAGUAUUAGUUAUUAACUUGUGUUCUACUAAACUGUAGAUAUUUAUUUCCUGUUCUGGAAGAUUUCUUGGAGUGUCCAUCUGUGCAUUCCUGGUGCCUAGUGUAGUCUUGCUAAUGGAAUAGCACCUUUAUUGGUGCUACUUAGGGGUUGGUAGCUUACAAUCAAUCUACUUGGAACGUAUCCAAAUAAACUGGAUAUUUUUAUACA